AUAAUAUUUUCUUGUUCCUAU
ensembl:piRNA 21ur-1856 ncRNA